GAAAAGACAGAGCUGGGCCCUCUCCAGAGGGUCUGAGUUCUACUGUAGACUCCAUCCACUAUUACAUCAAAAACUUUGGGAAACCAGGAAGAAAAAUGGAACUAAAAAGGGAAAACAAUAGCAACAAAGAUCAAAAUAAAUAAGGAAGCAGAGAGAAGAAAGAACAUGGUGAAGAGAGUGAAAAGCGUUGUCAUUUGGGGUGAAUUGCAGAAAGAAAUAAAUUAUUGUUCUUAUAUAUAAGUGA